rnacentral:rRNA from 1 species
CCUACGGGAGGCAGCAGUAGGGAAUCUUUCACAAUGGGCGAAAGCCUGAUGGAGCAACGCCGCGUGCAGGAUGAAGGCCUUCGGGUUGUAAACUGCUUUUAUAAGCGAGAAAUAUGAUGGUAACUUAUGAAUAAGGAUCGGCUAACUACGUGCCAGCAGCCGCGGUCAUACGUAGGAUCCGAGCAUUAUCCGGAGUGACUGGGUGUAAAGAGUUGCGUAGGUGGCAUAAUAAGUAGCUAGUUAAAUCUGGUGGCUCAACCAUUCAGACUAUUAGCUAAACUGUUAAGCUCGAGACCGUUAGGGGUAACUGGAAUUUCUAGUGUAGGAGUGAAAUCCGUAGAUAUUAGAAGGAACACCAAUAGCGUAGGCAGGUUGCUGGGACGGUUCUGACACUAAGGCACGAAAGCGUAGGGAGCAAACGGGAUUAGAUACCCCUGUAGUC